AGACCUUUGAGAACUGAAUAAGACGAACCAAACGUGAGGGUGAUAUGGAGACAUAUUACCCGUCAAGAAACGAG
rnacentral:tRNA from 1 species